rnacentral:rRNA from 1 species
UACGUAGGGUGCGAGCGUUAAUCGGAAUUACUGGGCGUAAAGCGUGCGCAGGCGGUUUGAUAAGACAGGCGUGAAAUCCCCGGGCUCAACCUGGGAACUGCGUUUGUGACUGUCUCACUAGAGUACGGCAGAGGGGGGUGGAAUUCCACGUGUAGCAGUGAAAUGCGUAGAGAUGUGGAGGAACACCAAUGGCGAAGGCAGCCCCCUGGGUCGAUACUGACGCUCAUGCACGAAAGCGUGGGGAGCAAACAGG